rnacentral:lncRNA from 1 species
AAACGCAUCUAGGCAAAGUGUGGACCCGACCAGGCGGGUUUUCCUCCUUCUCGCAACUCCUCCUCCUGCCCCCCUCCCUCCCAAAUCUCAUCUGAGUGAGUCAGCUGAGGGUGGCAGCUCAGAAGCGAGGCAGCCGUGAGGCGGAGGACAGGCUGGGGGAUCCCAAAGGGUGCGCUCCAGCCCCCAACCCAGGCACUGGGACUCUGGUGGCACCCUGGGUGGCAGGCAAGCCUUGAAAUCAAGUGCACGAGCCUUGGAAAGGAGGACCGGGAGAGUUAUGGCAUUUAUGAAUGAAGAAGAGAAAGAGAAUCACUCGGAUGGGAAAAGUUAACUGGAUUGUUCCCACCUGCAUGGAUCACCGGAAGCAACUUAGCCGUCUCGCCUUGCGGCCUGGAACCCCUGGCAAUUUCCGGAGCACCGGCAAGAGACUUUUGCACAGUUUCUGCUUGGAGUCUACCGACUGUCUGUCUCAGAGGUCUGGACAGCUGCUUGUUACAUUUGGCUCACGCUAGCUUAAAAAAGGAAUUUAUGGACCUUACUGCAGAACGUCCCAAUUCUUCAGGCCAAGGUAAAUGCAAGUUGGGGUGGUAGUGAAGUUGCAAACUGCCCCUAAGAAAAAAGGUUAACAAGAUAUUGUUCCUUCCACCCCCGGCCUCCCGUUGGUUCCCCCACCCCAAGAGCCUUCCCACCAGGCUUCAGGGUGACAAACGCUUGGAUUUGAUGGGGCUGAGACUUGCUUGUGCCUUUGUUGAUGGCAGGGCACUUUUAUUGAAACUUGUUGAAAGGAGCUAGCUUCGAAGGCUCCUCCAAGAUUCUACACCACAGGGGGAAGCAGGACUUUGAUUUAAGAUACUCACAUCUGUCAACCACAGGCAUUCAUUCAGUUUUCUCUUUCAUUUGGGGAAGGAAGGGAGAAAAUGAAUCAGAGGCUGAUUUUUUUUUUUCUGGCCUGUUUUCCCCAAGCUCCAGGAAAUUAAGAAACAUGCCAUUAGUUUUAGCAAACAAUUUGAACAAAGUAAAACCAGAUCUCCCACCAAAGGCCGAGGACCAUGAGGGGUCUGAGUGCCCCUGGCCCUGUUUGUGGACUCUGCGGGUCGUGGAGGAGCCAUGAAGUGGGAAGAGAGCUUGGGUGAUACAGGAUGGUGUGCGUGACAGUCCUCCCUGUGUCUUCUUUGCUACCAUAUUUAUCAUAGCUUAGAUGUGUGUGGCCUGGUGGCACCAAAGGUGAACAGAAAGCAUUUUUGGGGCGCCAUGGCCCAGACCUCAGCCUGAACGUUGUGGGAAGCCAGUGGGUGUCUGCAUGUGUUGGCGAGAACCAGUGGGCAUCUCCUUGGAAGCCAGUCCCCAAGGUGGCUCUAGAUGGCUUACUCCUGCAUCUUGCCAAAUCCACAGGGUCCAGCUGUGUCUCCAGGGCUGCGUGGCUUAUUGAAAAAGAGAGUGUAUGGUGGAUUUCAAUAUCUAUAUUCUACAAAAAAUGUAAAAGGGGCAGGGGACGGGAACAAAGAAACCAGUGCUGGUGAUCCUGCCCCCACAGUAAGGUCUGCUUUAGUGUGGACAUGGGACAGGGGCCAGCCCCUGCUGCUCCCUGGGGGAACACAGGUCCGUGGGGGUGGCUCACCGUCAUGUAUGUGAUUUUGAUGUUUGUACAUUUGUUGUACCACAUGAACCAGUCUUGGACGGCUGUUCUGAGUAAAUGGGAUGAUGUGGGUAAAGCCCCCAAGACCAGAGCCUGGCACAGGGCCGUGCUGGAUAAUGCUGACUCAUGGUGAUGAGGGGAAGGAGGAGGCAGGAUGCCAUGGGUGAGGAGUCCAGGCUCCAGUGCUGCUGAACCACCAUCCACCAGUAUGAUCUCAGCAAGCCUCUCUCCACCUGGACCCAGAUGAUUCACCCGUUAAACAUCCCAGGCACAUUGAAGGGAGAUGAACAGCGUCCAGCAUGGUCCUCAGCUGUGAGAAGCCAUACACUCGCCUUUUCCACCCUACAACUUUCCGUCAUCUGGGGUGCAGGUUUCUUUCCUCUCUUUUUACUUAUUACAAGGUAAAAUACAGUCUUAUUACAGAAAACUAGAAACCAGAAAAGCCCAUCACACAGUCAUUCAUUCAACAAAUGCGUAUUGGGAAGGGUGGGGAUGAGCCCCUGGUGGAAAUGGGGUGAAGCUGUGGACUUUCUCUGGGUGCGAUGAAGGCUGACGGAGGGCUUUGAGCAUCCUCAAGAUUCAGAAGUCUGUUCUCAGUCAUCAGCAGCUGUACCAGGAGAGGAAGAACCUCUGAAGUGUUCUGGCUCCAAAAGCUAGUGAAAGUGCAGAUUUCCUGAGAAGGAGUGAAGCUUAGGGCCCUGCCAGGCAGUGAUGCUUUCUCAACUUUGGGGGCAGUAAAAUGUACAGACUCUGGGGAAGGAGACCAGGAAGGAGGCUGCAAAGUGUGCAUGCUCUGGGAAGGGGGCAGGGAAGGCUGGCAAAAAGCUGUUGGGGACCCAGCCAGGCUGCUUCCCUUGGAGGCCCAGCCUGAGAUGUGUUUCCCACCAUAUAUGGCAGAAAUGAUUUCAGGUGCUAUGUAGAUAAGCCACGAACUAUCAUUGAAUCUUUUCUUGGUUGUAUUGUGAAAGAAAAAGUCUCUGUUGGGUGCUGGUGUAUCUUCGACACCACUUAACACUUGUCAAGCUCUCCUUUACUGAGGUAAAGCAGUCCUCAGGCUCAGAGCUUGUGACCAGGGAGCGGUAUCUAGCCAAAAUUUUAUUUCAAUGCUUUGUUUUCAUUGUCUUUAAAACAAAAGAUGGUUAUCUUCCAUUUGCCAUG